ACUGUUCAUGUCAGUACGAAUGUUGAACUUUUGAAAAAACUCACUUCCUCAUUACAUUUCAUUUUCCUAUUUUAUCCUUCUGCAACACGCUAAAAAUUUUUUCCCCCUGUCAUACUGCUCGGCAUUUCUCUCCAAAAUUUCACUUCCCUCUCUCUCCCCAUUCACUUCCCUCCAAACCCAGCCCAGAAGGCAGAAAAGCGACCCUCUCUCUCUCUCUCUCACUCUCCCUCUAGCCAGAAGGCAGAAAAGCGAUCUGGUACUGGGGCUCACUCUCCCUCUACGGUACGGUUAGCGAUCGGUCGGUAAGCCCAGUCCCGACUCCACAAACCUCCUCUUGCAAAUCUAACGUAAGCGAAACCCAGACGGCACGCGUAAAUAUGUCUACGAGUAGCGACUUCUCAAGUGGUCAUCCGUUAUGUAAAUGUAGAGUUCCUGCACGAAUAAGGUACUCUUGGACCUCGAGCAAUCCCGGUAAAAAGUGGUACGGAUGUCUUAAGUACAAGAAGGCCGGGGACUGUGAUUUUUUCGUAUGGGCUGAUAAGGAAAUGUCACCUUAUGAGAAGGGUAUGGCGAAAUACCUGAAAGAACUGGAGGACAAAAGGGUUGCUGAUAAUGACGGGCUCGAUGCAUUCAUUGAAGAAAAGUGCAAUCAACAUUAUGAGAAACUGCGGCGGGACUUAGAGUUGGGUUAAAAUGACAAAGUUGAUGCAAUGAUUAGAAAAAAAAUGCAAAAAGCAUUAUCAUAAACUACGGCGGGAGUUUGGGUUGGGUCAAAAUACAACUUGGAUGAUGUUAAAGGCUGCAUUGUUAGUUGCCUUUUUGCUUUUAGUAUUUUAUGU